rnacentral:rRNA from 1 species
CGCGGCCUAUCAGCUUGUGGAGAGGUAACGGCUCACCAAGGCAUCGACGGGUAGCUCGUCUGAGAGGAUGAUCAGCCACACUGGGACUGAGACCACGGCCCAGACUCCUACGGGAGGCGGCAGUGGGGAAUCUUGCACAAUGGGCGAAAGCCUGAUGCAGCAACGCCGCGUGCGGGAAGAAGGCCCUAGGGUUGUAAACCGCUUUCAGCAGGGAAGAAAAUGACGGUACCUGUAGAAGAAGGUGCGGCCAACUACGUGCCAGCAGCCGCGAUGACACGUAGGCACCAAGCGUUAUCCGGAUUUAUUGGGCGUAAAGAGCUCGUAGGCGGUUCGGUAAGUCGGGUGUGAAAACUUGAGGCUCAACCUCAAGAGGCCACCCGAUACUGCUGUGACUCGAGUGCGGUAGGGGAGCGGGGAAUUCCUGGUGUAGCGGUGAAAUGCGCAGAUAUCAGGAGGAACACCAGUGGCGAAGGCGCCGCUCUGGGCCGUAACUGACGCUGAGGAGCGAAAGCGUGGGUAGCAAACAGGAUUAGAUACCCUGGUAGUCCACGCCGUAAACGUUGGGCACUAGGUGUGGGUCUCAACCAACGAGAUCCGCGCCGUCGCUAACGCAUUAAGUGCCCCGCCUGGGGAGUACGG